UGGGGAAUUGUUCGCAAUGGGCGCAAGCCUGACGACGCAACGCCGCGUGGAGGAUGACGGUCUUCGGAUUGUAAACUCCUGUUGAUCGGGACGAAUAGCGUCGGCCGAAUACGCAGACGAAUGACGGUACCGGUUGAGGAAGCCACGGCUAACUCUGUGCCAGCAGCCGCGGUAAUACAGAGGUGGCAAGCGUUGUUCGGAAUUACUGGGCGUAAAGGGCGCGUAGGCGGCCUGCUAAGUCGGACGUGAAAGCCCCAGGCUUAACCUGGGAACGGCGUCCGAUACUGGCUGGCUUGGAUUCGGGAGAGGGAUGUGGAAUUCCAGGUGUAGCGGUGAAAUGCGUAGAUAUCUGGAGGAACACCGGUGGCGAAGGCGGCAUCCUGGACCGAGAUCGACGCUGAGGCGCGAAAGCUAGGGGAGCAAACGG
rnacentral:rRNA from 1 species